UCUCCUGUUAUGCUUCCCCUACUUUCUCUCUCUUCCGCUUCUCUUUCUUUUCAAACACUAAUCGUCUUUCUUUUCCUUCCAACCCAAACUCACUCAUCUUUCACUCUUUCUCUCCCUCCCAAUAAGCUUCAUGCUUUAGCUCACUCUUCUCUUUGUUUCGUUUCGUUCAAAAAUUCACCAACAGUUUAAUCUUUUGAUCCCUUUUCUUUUUAUUCUGUUCAUAAAUUGAGUAUAUAUACCUUUUGCGUACUUACAUGCUGAUCUUGUGGAUCUAAAUGUCUCUUUUUGUUUUUCUGUGUCCUAGGGUAUUGUACGUCCUGAUUUUAUGGACUUUUUCUUUUCUCUUCAUAGACAAGAACUGGAGUUGCAGGAUUUUUGGUUAAAAAACAAUUAAUGAUGCAAUCUUUGUAGUGAAUGACGUGUGCAGCAAAACCAAAACCUAUAUAACCUCAAAAAAGCGAACUAAUCCAGCUUUUGGUUCUCACUCCAAGAAGAAGGAUUGGAUCCACAUUAUAGUUUAUGACACCGGGAAAGUUACAAGUUUUUCACAGGAAGAGAGAGAACGAAGAGGAAGUAAGGAUGGUCGAAGAAGUACGUUACGAAGAUGAAAGAAGGAAAAACAAAAGAAGAAAAUAUGGUAGAGAAGGUUCACCAAAGAAAUUUGGUACAAAAGGCCCAUAUAAUGGUGUGAUGUAUUAUAAACCACAUGUGAAAUUAGUUCAUCAUAGCAUUGAUCAUUAUUCUCUAGUUUCUAAAAACAUUAGGAUGGAAAAAGAAUAAACAUAAAAUCAUAAGAUGUGAUUGUGUUUAUAUUGAUUGUUUAAAUAAGCAUAAGGAGAAGGAAAUGCAUUUA